AUGCAGCCGUUGCCGUCGGGGCCCCGAUUCCAGCCCCUCCUCGCACAGACAACCACGAACAAUCUGGGGCAAAAGAAGUCGGCAGCGGCGGCAAGCAAUCCUAUCAGCACAUGUGCUAGAUGGGAUAAAUUGGAGACCUGGCUGCCACCACCGCACCUACAGGACGCCUGCUUGGGAAUCUUAAAAACUCUAUGGAAGUCCAUUGCUACAGAUGGAUCCAAAUAA
rnacentral:rRNA from 1 species